rnacentral:snRNA from 1 species
AUGCUCGCUUCGGUACCACGUAUAUUAAAAUCGAAAGCAUACGGAGAAGAUUAGCAUGGCCCCUGCACAAGGAUGACACACA